UCUGAUAAACUUUGAAGUUUCGUUUCGAGUUGAUAAAUCCUUGUUGUCUUUUGUUGUGAUUCGGUCUUCAUUGAUAGUAUUUCAGAUUUCAUAGUCUGAAUUUCAAGUUCCAAUUGAUUGAAUCUGUUGGCAACAACAUCGGGAUCAUUCAAUAGAAGUCUCUUUUUAUUUUGAUUUGUACAAUGUACAGUUGAUAAAAAUAGAGAACAUAUCAAAAACAAAGUGAACUGAGACAUUUGUAAAUGUUACUACUGGGUCAUGUCUUA
rnacentral:lncRNA from 1 species